AAGAAGAAGAAGAAGAGAAAGAGGUUGAGAUUAAAAUAGAGAGAGAAUAAGAAGAAAGUUUGAGUGAGAAAGAGAAAGAUGUAGAAAAGGAAGAAGAGGAGAGCAAAGAAAAAGAAUUUUUGAGUGAAAAAGAGAAAGAUAUAGAGGAAGAAAAAGAAGGGGUUGAGAGAGAAGAGAAAAAAAUUGAGAAAAGUCCUUUGUGCCC
rnacentral:lncRNA from 1 species